rnacentral:misc_RNA from 1 species
UUUAGGGAGACCUAUACCCCUUACAUAUCGAAAAGCAAACAGUUAUAUAGAUAGUAAGUUGGUCUAACCUAGGUCGGUCGCAGACAUUUGCAAUGUUGAAAGCUUUCAAACUAUGAUGAAGGUUCGUAAUUGGGCUAUUAGCUCAGGUGGUUAGAGCGCACCCCUGAUAAGGGUGAGGUCCCUGGUUCGAGUCCAGGAUGGCCCACCUGAAGAAUUAGUAAUUACUAAUUCAUAAUUCAUACUAAAUUUUUAAUUAUGAACUAUGAAUUAUAAAUUAUUCUGGGGGUUUAGCUCAGUUGGUAGAGCGCCUGCUUUGCAAGCAGGAUGUCAGCGGUUCGAGUCCGCUAACCUCCACCUGUGGCGAUUGCCAAAAUAAAAACUAGUGAGAAACCCAGCAACAUGACAUUGGUGUCAGACUGCUGAGUUAAUUCUCAGCCAGAACCUUGAAAACUGCAUAGUAACGCGAAAUUAGCAGGCAGACACAGACAUUCUUUAUGGAUGUUGUAGUGAAUGCAAAUUGUUGAAACACCAAAUGAAUUGAGU